rnacentral:rRNA from 1 species
GCCCAGACUCCUACGGGAGGCAGCAGUGGGGAAUAUUGGACAAUGGGGGGAACCCUGAUCCAGCGACGCCGCGUGAGUGAAGAAGUAUUUCGGUAUGUAAAGCUCUCUCAGCAGGGAAGAAAGAAAUGACGGUACCUGACUAAGAAGCCCCGGCUAACUACGUGCCAGCAGCCGCGGUAAUACGUAGGGGGCAAGCGUUAUCCGGAUUUACUGGGUGUAAAGGGAGCGUAGACGGCAGUGCAAGUCUGAAGUGAAAGGCGGGGGCCCAACGCCCGGACUGCUUUGGAAACUGUGCUGCUGGAGUGCAGGAGAGGCAAGUGGAAUUCCUGGUGUAGCGGUGAAAUGCGUAGAUAUCAGGAGGAACACCGGUGGCGAAGGCGGCCUGCUGGACUGCAACUGACGUUGAGGCCCGAAAGCGUGGGGAGCAAACAGGAUUAGAUACCCUAGUA